AUGCAAGACUACUUCGCGGAGAAUCCAACAUAUCCACCGCACCUCUUCCGGAGAAGGUACCGAAUGCGUCGAUCCCUCUUUGUAAAAAAUGUUCAAGCUUGCGAGGCAAAUUGCUGGUAUUUUACUCAAAGAAGAAAUGUUGCGGGCUUAAAGGGAUUUAGUGCAUAUCAAAAAAUCUCCGCAGCUAUGCGGGUGAUUGCAUAUGGCAUUCCGGCUGACUAUGCCGAUGAGUACCUUCCCAUUGGUGAAGAUACUACAAUUGAGUCAGUACAUAGAUUUGCAAAAGUGAUCAUCUGUGUCUUUGGUCCUUAG
rnacentral:rRNA from 1 species